GCGUCGCCCAGGCGAUAGAGCAACCUCAGGCGUGGGGAGAGUUUAAGUCGUUGAAGUGCUAGAAAGCGUUUCGGGUCGCAAAGGAAGUACCUGUCAGUAUAGAGAAGUGUCCGCGGAAUCCAGGAAGUGAUGAGAUACCACAUUUUUUACAAACUGAAGGUUUGCAGCAACCCUGAGGCACACGAGUUCAUCGGCGCCAUUUUCCCAAUGUUUGUUCAUUUUUGGGUCUCUGGCUCAUCUUGUGAUAAUCCUUUGCAAUAGUUCAAACUUUCUCAUUGUUCUUGUAUCUGAAUUGCUGCAAACUCAUGAUAAAACUUUGACAGAUGAGUUUCUCAAGGAUGAGCAAAGAAAGUGGUUUCUUGAGAUGGAAUUGACUCCCGAUGAAGAUGCUACGAAGACUGUUGAGAUGACAACAGAGGAUGUAGAAUGUGACACGCACUUAGUCGAUAAAGCAGUGGCAGGAUUGCAGAGGCUUGACUCCCAAUUGUGAAAGAAGUUCUACCAUGGGUAAAAUAGUAUCAGACAGCAUCGCAUGCUACAGAGGAAUCAUUUGUAAAAGGAAGAGGCAAUGGAUGUGGCAGACUCCGUCGUGUUAUUUUGAGAAAUUUUGACAGCCACCCCAACCUUCGGCAAGCACCAUCCCGAUCAGUCAGCAGCCAUCAACACUGAGGCAAGACCCUCCACUAUCAAAGAGAUGAUGACUCACCAAAAGCUCAGAUGAUCAUUAGCACUUCUUAACAAUAAAGUAUUUUUAAUUAAGAGACACAGCGAAAGAGGGGAACACAAGCAGGGGGAGAGGGAGAAGCAGACUCCCUGCUGAGCAGGGAGCCCUACAUGAGGCUCGAUCCCAGGACCCUGGGAUCAUGACCUGAGCCGAAGGCAGACGCUCAACGACUGAGCCACCCAGGCGCCCCGAUGUGUAAGAAGUUGGAAAAAAGAAAUGAGAUCUGUUACCACAGCUGACGAAGAAGCCACCUGGUAGACAUGUUGGCUAGCAAAGGUGUCAUAAGAAUCAAGAGGGGCUCCCUACAGCCUGGGAUCCAUGAACCCCAGAUUAAGAAUCCCUCGAGGAAAAUCUUGCUGACAGAAAAUUCACAGUGGAGAAUAAAUGUCAGGGAAGCCUGGAUACCGUGGACACGUGAAGUGACCCAGGACCACUAGAUGGCAGCAGAGUCUCGACUAAACUGUCCACCAGCUUGGGCAUGAAGAUCAUUGGUAUUAAUAACAGGAACCUUGAGUUUGAAGGGGCAGGGCAAAAAUGGAAUUAAACAAAAGAUAAAGAAUACAGGGAGAUUGGUCAGCUGGAGACAAGAUCUUGAGCCCCAUGUAAAUGUAAACCAGAGAAGUGGCUAGACCUGAGCAAUGGGGGAGGCAGCAGGGCACUCCCAGGUUCAUUGACUAAACAUUUCAUACCUAUCCAUGUGGGUAGUCUCCCCUUGCUUUGAAACAUUCACUGCUCAGCUUCUUUUUUAAAAAUAUUUUAUUUAUUUAUUUGACAGAGAGAGAGAGCGUGCACAAGCAGGGGGAGCGGCAGGCAAAGGGAGAGGGAGAAGGAGACUCCCCGCUGAGCAGGGAGCCCGACGUGGGGCUCGAUCCCAGACCCUGGGAUCAUGACCUGAGCCUAAGGCAGAUGUCCAACCAACUGAGCCACCCAGGUGCCCCUGCUCUGCUUCUCUGAAGCACUUUCUAUUUAAGGGUUUGUUACUUAAUGCCAGUAAGCCUCCAGGAAUCCUUUGCUCUUAACUGCCUUGUCAAUCCCCAAUGAUAAAUAAAGUCAGCUCUCUUGUCUCUCUCCUUCUGGGCAGCCAGGUGCUCCUACAGAAAGUUGGCAGGGUCUCCACAUUACUCGACUCUCCAUCCAUAAUACAUAACCUCGGUGGUGACCUCAAGGCUGUUCACCAUUCUUCUAUAUGUCCUUAGUUAACUCCUUUGGGCAUUGCUCAUGGAACCAAUUCUAAUCCUGCUCCACUCCCUGAAAUUCCCAUACCACAUUUCAGCUCCCCAAUCUCACAUCCCCCUUUAUCUGAAGGACUGAGACCAUCUGUCCCAUCCUUCCACCGCAGUCCCCCUCUACUGUAGACCGAGCACAGGACCUACAGAGUCCUCUGCAGGACCUUUCUAGAGGUGGCUGGGAAGAUGUCAGAAAUGCCACCUUCUUCAAUGUGAAGUAAUAAAAAGAUAUCCUGCAUCUCAUCUCUGAAUCAAUGUACUUCUCUGAAAGAUACUUUACUGUUUUAGCUCAGGCUGCCAUAACAGAACAGGGCAGCCCAGCUGGCUUAAACAAUCUGCAUUCAUUUCUCACAGUUCUGGGGCCUGGGAGGUUCAAGAUCAAGGUGCCAGCCAAUUUGGUCGCUGGUGAGCACCUUCCUGGCUUGCAGAGAACCACCUUCUCUGACACCUUUACAGGGGUCUUUCCUCAGGCAUGUAUCUCUCUCUUCCUCUUCUCAUCAGGCUGCUGAUCCCAUCAGGAGGGCCUAACCCUGUGAACUAGCCUAAGCUCCAUCUCCAAACAGCGUCACGUUGGGGGUUAGGGUCUCAGCAUAUGAAUGUGGUGGGUGCACCAACGUUGAGCCCAGGACAGUUACAAAUGUUGAUGACUGGAGUGUUUCCUAACUCACAGGAAGAAGCCGGGGGUGGCAGCUUUGACAAAUCUUAUGUGCAAAGGCAAUGAUUGCAAACCCUUCACUAAAAAAUUAACACACUGACGUAAAAUAUAUCCUGUUCUGGCAAAUUUCAACUGAGCUUGUCCUAUUCAAUGAUUUCUGAUUCAUUUAUUCAGUCAUUCAGCUAAUAAAUACUUACUGACUUGAGCCGGCUCUCCUAACCACUGCAUCUUGCCAAAUGCAGAAAUGUUUGAUACAGCAUUUUUGUGGCAGAUAAAGAGUAUUUUAAAAGAGGAAUCAUUCAUCCAGAAUUUGUCAGAGUCACCCUCCAGCACUAUGGAAAGAGAGAGAAUCUGCUCUCUGGCUGGCAGGCAUAUGUCGGUGUGCUCAGCUGUGAGCUCAGAUGAAACAGUAAGUGCCUCGGGCUGAACUUUUUUAUUAUAAUCACUCCUGAUAUUCAAGUAGUUUUCAAAGGCUUUUGAUCUAAUGAAAACAUAACGUGUGGCCAGCAGAUACACACAUGUUCUAGUCCGCUCGGUGGGCACAUCUCGUAGAACAGUGAUGUAAAGAGAAUUCCAUCACAUGUAUCAGUUUGUUAUGAACUAGAUUAUUAUGGAUCACCCCCACACACACCCCGAUCACUCCUGAGUGAACUAACAAGAAUGAAUUUUAAAAUCUACAGUGCUGAAGACUUGACCUUGGCCUCAGAAUGAUCUCACCAAUAUGCUGGCUGGCAUCCUCUGAAGUUCAGCCUGAGCCUCCUUCUCUUAAAGCUACCACUCUUAACUUAAAGCCAUGUCCAUGUUAAACUGUAUUCACUGAGUUUAAUUAACACAUUGCUCUAACAUCAAUAAAUUAAUUUAUGGGAUCAUAAAUUGAAUUGUUUAAGAUGAAUUUAAUUAGUUUAAACUGUAUCAAUGGAUUGACGAUGUUUACCACAAACAAUUGGGUAUAAUAACAUAGGAAUAGAACAGCUCUAUCAAACAUUCAGCAGGGUUUCCAUGAGGACUAGGAUAAGACCUGUCCUGUGUGGUCAAACAUACAGAAUUGAGAACAACAGGUGGAAGAUAUAGGAAAGCACAUUUUCGCUUAGCAUAACAAAGACCUUUCUAGCACAAGAUUUCUCUGGAUACCCAUUGGGAAGAGCGAAUUCCUGGUCACGAGAGGCAGUUGGGCCCUGGCCAGCCUGUGGUGUCGAAGAUCUGGAAGACCCUCAAUGCCCCUAAGGCCCCGCUGACCCUGAUAGCCUGUGAUCUCCUAAAUCAGCCCUGUCAUUUCUGUCACAGCCCAGAGUGCACAACUGUACGAGAGCCUUGAGGCCCCCUCGCCUGCCAGUCCUCGCUCGGCUUCUCCGCGGAGGCAGGACGUGGCUCCAGGGACACACGCCUGCCCGGUUAUCAGCGCACCCAGAGCUCGUAGCCACCAGUGUGCGGCUUUUCUUCUAGUAGAUUCUCAAUGGAGGAUGUUGCAAGGCUGGUCAUUAUGAUAAGGCAAGUGUUUAAAAUUCUCGUCUGGACUCUUGGCUUCCAGCUUCCAGGUGGAACUGAAUUAAGGUAGGAGGCCUUAGGACACAAUGACAGCAGGAUUUCCCACUUUAGAAUAUUACCCGUUGGUUUAGAAAUAAGUCAAGCAAAGCUGAAAGACAGAAACUGCGCUCUUAAAGUUCUGGGAUCGAAGAAGAAAGGAGGAGAGGGAUUCAUUUUCCUGAGAUCAUUUGUUUUUUUCCCCUUUGAAAGCUCAAGCAAAAAUUAAGGAAAUUGAUUCACAGGUUCUAGGGCCUUUUACAACUAGCUUCAUAUUGUUGCCAGGAAGUAGAGAGUGCGGGGUCCAGGAAGAGCCUUUUCUGGAACGACAUAAUCCGAGGCAAGCAGUAGAGAGGGAACUUAAUUUUGGUGGAUAUGGAAAUAAUACUUCAGCAAGAGUUGUGGGUUCUAAAAUAUGGAAAGAGCCCAGAGGUGCAUCGACAGAGGAACGGAUAAAGAAGAUGUGGUACCUAUAUACAGUGGAACGUUACUCAGCCAUCAAAAAGAAUGAAAUCUUGUCAUUUGCAACAACAUGGAUGGAACUAAAGGGUAUUAUGCUAAGUGAAAUAAGUCAGUCAGAGAAAGACAAAUACCAUAUGAAUUCACUCACAUGUGGAAUCUAAGAAACAAAACAGAUGAACAUACGGGAAGGGAAGGAAAAAUAAAAUAAGAUGAAAACAGAGAGGGAGGCAAACCAUAAGAGACUCUUAACUCUAGGAAGCAAACUGAGGAUUGCUGGAGGGGAGGUGGGUGGAGGGAUGGG